UAUUGUCCAUUGUGGUAGCUACUAUUUCCUUUCCCUUAUAGGUGUUAUACUUCAGACUCCAGUUUAAUAUCCCAAAGCAUUAAGAAGUUGUUUGGUUUGAUGUAUUAGCUCAAAUAGUCAUGGUAUAAAAACUUGUAUUGUUAUCUAUGGGCAGGUUAUUUACUCUUCAAUCCAUAAACCGAAUAUGAAUUGGUCUUCAAACUUCUUGCUUUUGCCUUUAUCUGGUGUUUACUUGAUUGUUUAUUCUACAAUAUAUACAGUCUUCCUCGCUUCCAGAAUGGAGUGAAGGUCCAUUUUAUUUUGUUUGCUAUUGAGCUGCCAUAUUACACAAGUGUUCCAACUCUAUUAUAUAUUUGUGAAGUAAGUUUAAUCUCUUUAAGAAAUCAUCAGAAAUUUUUGUUCUUUCUGAUUGAUGAGAUGAUUAAGUAACAAUUAGCCUGAUCAAUAUUUAAUUGAGAAGCUGUAGAAUUAUGCAGCCUCCUCACUCCAUCACCCGUUUCCUGGAAGAAAGUAAUGGAAUAGAAAACACCUGCAGAUCUCCAGAGGAAAAUAAAAUAUUGGACUAUCUUUGAAUAGUACACCGACCUUGAGAUAAGGUAUAACUAAAACUGCCUGGUCGCUUGACCCUCCUAAUGAUGUGUGGCAGCUGAAAUAAAAAGAAAAAACUCAUCUACUGUGUCUUUUCUGUACUUCUCUCUCUCUCUCCUUUCUACUUUUUUAUCUUAGGAGAUAUUGAAAAACUAGCAUUCAGAGGGUCUUUUUCUUUGUGCUAUUAUUGAUGCAGGUCACAUUGAAAACCUUAUUUUCUUGUUUUGCAUGAUGUUUCUGGAGAUGUCUGCCAACAAUUAAAUCCUAUAUUUUUCUUCCACUGAUUCUCUUGGCCUGGAUAGCUGGUGUUGCCUAAUCUUUUUGUUGAUUGCCUACAGAAUUUCUCUCGUUAUUUCAACAGACAAGUUUCCUUGUGCUGGCAUUCUUCUCUUUCUCGAUUUCUCAACCUCUCGUAUCACUUAUGAGCUUGAGGAAGAAGGAUCAUAAGGAGUACACAGCAAUGAGUUAGGCAUCAGGCAUACAUGAUAGCGGGAGAGGGAACUGGCGAGCAUUUUAGAUCCCAACCAACCUUUUGAUAAGCUCCUGCUGAACUGAAGGUUCCGGCAGUCCUUCAUGACAUCUGAGGACAGUGAACAGGAAGAGUAGGGAGCCUAAAAUCCAUAUACCAAUAGAUUGAACAGAAGAGACAUGUAGGAAGGUUACGGGUUCGAGCUGUGGAAACAACCUCUUGCAGAUAAGGCUGUGUAAUAUUAGACCCUUGUGGUCGGGCCCCCUCUGGACUUCGCGCAUAGUAGGAGCUUAAUGCACCGGGCUGCCCUUUUAUGCUCUAGCGGCCAGAUUCUCCCGUUCCUAAUGAUACGAGCUAGCGUUCCGGACAAAAUUUUGCUGUGCAGAUUAUAACAUCCAAGAUCAAUCAUGCACCCAAGCGUGUGGCCUAGUGAUCAUGAAGUUGGUGAAAACCAUGAGAGACCAGCGUCCAGCAGAGAUAAUGCUCGGAGGUUUCUGACAAAUUGCCUUAUAGAGAUGUUGCAUGUUGGAAUAGUGAUUCAAGCUGUUAUCAAUGUGGGAGCUUGCCUAAAGUACUUGUGCUGAUGGGAGAUUAGGAAGUAGCAAGUACCUGUGGAAUUAGUCGAGACACGCACAAGCUGGCCCGGACAUUACAGUUACAGUUAUAUUAUAUAAUAAAAUAACUGUAGUAAAAUAUAUUAAAUUAUUGGGUUGAAAGAAUGAUCUUUGUUCUUAACCUUGAUUUCCACCUUUCUUCUGAUUCCGUGAUUUUAUGUUCACUGUUCCUGGAGUUCUCUUGUCGAAUAAAUUCUGAUGCUUUCUUUGGGAAGUCCAUAUAAAUUUUGCUUGCCGCCUCUAGUACAUGUUACAAUCCUAUUUUCUCUUUUGAUAGGAGGUGACAAAUACGACGA